UACGGAGGGUGCGAGCGUUGUCCGGAAUCACUGGGCGUAAAGGGCGCGUAGGCGGCCGAGCAAGGUCGCGGUGAAAGCCCGGGGCUCAACCCCCGGGGUCGGCCGUGGCAACUACUCGGCUCGAGCACUGUAGGGGCGGGUGGAAUUCCGGGUGUAGCGGUGGAAUGCGUAGAGAUCCGGAAGAACACCGGUGGCGAAGGCGGCCCGCUGGGCAGUUGCUGACACUGAGGCGCGACAGCGUGGGGGAGCAAACAGG
rnacentral:rRNA from 1 species